rnacentral:lncRNA from 1 species
UCCUUUUAACUCUUUUUCUGAUACGUUACCAUCACUAUCUAGUACAGUUAAUUUUAAAAGUUAAUUGCAUACAGGUCCCCACAAGUCCUAAUAUUUUUAGAUAUUUCCAUUUGGUUUGUUACCAUUAGAGAACCGUUAGAAAACUGUUUAUAUUUUCAAAUUUUCCAUCAUAAAUAUGUCAUUCCAAAAAUUAUAACAGUAUAAUAUAAGAGGGGUAAAAAUAUCAAAAAUUAACUUGAGUAAAGUAAUUUACCUAUGGUUAAUUAAACUUUUCUAACGAAUUUUAACGGUAUGAACAUAUCUGAAAAUAUUAGAAAUUUUGUAUGGAUAAUUUAUGAAAGUUAAAUUUUAUAGAAAUAUAUCUGCAGCUCACUAUGUUUAUAGGGACCUGUACGCAAUUGAUCCUAAUUUUAAUAUCCUUGUCCCCAAAUAAAAGAUCU